rnacentral:rRNA from 1 species
GACGAACGCUGGCGGCGCGCCUAACACAUGCAAGUCGAACGAGCGAGAGAGAGCUUGCUUUCUCAAGCGAGUGGCGAACGGGUGAGUAACGCGUGAGGAACCUGCCUCAAAGAGGGGGACAACAGUUGGAAACGACUGCUAAUACCGCAUAAGCCCACGACCCGGCAUCGGGUAGAGGGAAAAGGAGCAAUCCGCUUUGAGAUGGCCUCGCGUCCGAUUAGCUAGUUGGUGAGGUAACGGCCCACCAAGGCGACGAUCGGUAGCCGGACUGAGAGGUUGAACGGCCACAUUGGGACUGAGAGACGGCCCAGACUCCUACGGGAGGCAGCAGUGGGGAAUAUUGCACAAUGGGGGAAACCCUGAUGCAGCGACGCCGCGUGGAGGAAGAAGGUCUUCGGAUUGUAAACUCCUGUUGUUGAGGAAGACAAUGACGGUACUCAACAAGGAAGUGACGGCUAACUACGUG